AUUGAACGCUGGCGGCAGGCCUAACACAUGCAAGUCGAGCGAGCGGCGGACGGGUGAGUAAUGUAUGGGGACUGCCCGAUAGAGGGGGAUAACUACUGGAAACGGUAGCUAAUACCGCAUACUAUCGGAUAACCCAUAUGGGAUUAGCUAGUAGGUGAGGUAAUGGCUCACCUAGGCGACGAUCCCUAGCUGGUCUGAGAGGAUGAUCAGCCACACGGGGACUGAGACACGGCCCAGAAUCCGACGGAGGCAGAAGUGGGGAAGAGUGAACAAUGGGCGCAAGCCGGAUGCAGCCAUGCCGCGUGUAUGAAGAAGGCCCUAGGGUUGUAAAGUACUGGUGGCAGAGAAGCGGUAGCGGCAGAAUAAGCACCGGCUAACUACGUGCCAGCAGCCGCGGUAAUUC
rnacentral:rRNA from 1 species